rnacentral:rRNA from 1 species
CCCUUAGACGUUCUGGGCCGCACGCGCGCUACACUGACCAGUGCAACAAGCAUCCGUCCUUGGCCGACAGGCCCGGGCAAUCUUUGAACGCUGGUCGUGAUGGGGAUAGACUUUUGCAAUUUUUGGUCUUCAACGAGGAAUUCCUAGUAAACGCAAGUCAUCAACUUGCAUUGAUUACGUCACUGCCCUUUGUACACACCGCCCGUCGCACCUACCGAUUGAAUGGUCCGGUGAAGCCUCCGGAUUGGCGCGCACCUCGGUGCCGCCGAGAAGUUGGCUAAACCUUACCAUUUAGAGGAAGGUGAAGUCGUAACA